rnacentral:rRNA from 1 species
GACGAACGCCGGCGGCGUGCCUAAUACAUGCAAGUAGAACGCUGAAGGAGGAGCUUGCUUCUCUGGAUGAGUUGCGAACGGGUGAGUAACGCGUAGGUAACCUGCCUGGUAGCGGGGGAUAACUAUUGGAAACGAUAGCUAAUACCGCAUAAGAGUAGAUGUUGCAUGACAUUUGCUUAAAAGGUGCAAUUGCAUCACUACCAGAUGGACCUGCGUUGUAUUAGCUAGUUGGUGAGGUAACGGCUCACCAAGGCAACGAUACAUAGCCGACCUGAGAGGGUGAUCGGCCACACUGGGACUGAGACACGGCCCAGACUCCUACGGGAGGCAGCAGUAGGGAAUCUUCGGCAAUGGACGGAAGUCUGACCGAGCAACGCCGCGUGAGUGAAGAAGGUUUUCGGAUUGUAAAGCUCUGUUGUAAGAGAAGAACGAGUGUGAGAGUGGAAAGUUCACACUGUGACG